AGUCGGAAAACAUUUUUAAACCACGUUGUUACCGUUGCUUCGGUUUGCCACUACUAUGAGAAAGCGUCGUUACCGAAGAGGUCUGAAUGCUAAAACAAACUCUGGAGGUGUUUUUUUGUCCAACAUGAGUGAGACUGGACGCUGAACACACCUGCGGCGCGAAGGUUUACUGGUUCAGCUGCUGCAGCCUGGACAGAAACACCAGCUCUAAACUUACAGAGCAAACAGGUGUCACCACUUCGUCCACGAUCACAGUGUCUUUGUAUGAUGAAGUUGUUCUUUGAGACCAGGACUGAGGCCUCCAGGUCUUCAGCUGCUGUCAUCUUCUCUGCCUGCAGAGACGAGAACAUAUGUGAAUCACAGAAACUGAUGAGUAAAUCUAAUAUUCCUUUCCUAAACUGACCUCAUUCAUUGUUGACAUCUAAUUACAAUGAUUUAAACUAAACUUUUUAUAACUCAGUCAGUACUUCAUAUUUUAGUGUGUUUUUCUAAUUUACAGUCACAGUAAUGACUAGAAAUAAGAACCUACUGUAACAAUUAAAUAGUUAUCUCUCAAAUUUCACAGAACUAAAUAAACAUGAACCAUGCAAUAAAUACAGGAAAACAAUUUCAA